rnacentral:lncRNA from 1 species
AUGUGAGCAUUUCCCUUUGAAUUUGGGCACGCUUUCCAUGGCUUCAAACAAUAGAUCAGAAGUAAAUUAUAGCUGGUGGACCAAAUCUAGGCCUCUAUUUGCUUUUGUAAAUAAAGCUGUAUUAGGACACAGCCAUAUUCACGAGUAUACGUAUUGUCUUGGCUGUUUUCACAUCACAGCAGCAGAGCUGAGUAGCUGCAACAGAGAUUGUAUGGCUUGCAAAACCUAAACUAUUGACUGACACUUUAUAGAAAAAGAUCAACAUUGUAAUAUAAUAUGAUGAAAGUGUUGCUAUGUAAUAUCUAAGCCUAUGACAUGAGAGGUCAUGCAGCUUUUGCAGCUUGAUCCCUGGACACUCAUUCUCAGGACACUCCGUCGUAAAACCUAACUACCAUGUUAUGAGAAGUCCAGGUGGGUAGGCAUCUGUAGGCACUCCAGUCAAGAGCCCUAGUUGGGCCCAGUCUUCAAGUCAUCCCCUCUCAGGUAUCAGACAUGUGAAUUAAAAUGAUCUAGACAACUCCAACCCCAGCCAUUUGAAUCAUCAUGAACUGAGACUUCCAACAUCAGUCAUGGAAUAGAGGCAAACCAUCUCCUCUGUGCACUGUUUGAAUAUCUGUGCACAUAUUAAAAUUUUUGUUUAUACUAAGUUUGAAGUUCUUUAUUAGGUAGCAAUAAAUAACCAUAGCACUGUGUCUGUACAGAGGAGAUCUACAUUUCACAGAGCAUAGAUUUAAAUGUAAAUGUUGACUGCUCAAUUUAAUAUAAGUACAUAUACACACAUAUAGAUACAAAAUAUAUGUAUAUAUAAAUAUUAUACCCAUAUAAACUAAUCUAUAUUACCCAUAAAAUGAGGGGCCCAUGAAAUAGCUAACAUUUUCCAAGAAUUUAUUAUGUUAUAGAACUGACAAAUUCUUACUUUGUAUGAUUUUUUUUUUUAACCCUCGCAGCAGCUCCCUGAAAGAAGUAAUAUUAUUUCUAUGUUAUAAGUGAGAAAACCAAGGUAAAAACAGAUAACCUGCUUAGGGUACUCAGCAAAUCAAUUUUAGAGUCAAGAUUUGAACCCAGGCUGUCAAAUUUUAGAUUUCUCUCUCUUAGUUGCCAAGCUAUAUACUCAAUAAGGGGAUGAAAGCUGAAGCUACCACCCAAUGUUCAAAAGUUAGAUAGAAACUUAGUAGGCAUGGUUGAAAAGACAGGAUUUGGAUUUUUAAGUCCAGAGCUCUAGUUAUACAAUGAAUUCUUCUCUCAUCUAGACAUAGAUUUGUUUUCAGAAAAUGAAGACCUACACCACAGCUCAUGGCAACGCCAGAUCCUUAACCCACUGAGCAAGCACAGGGACCGAACCUGAAACCUCAUGGUUCCUAGUCAGAUUCAUUAACCACUGCGCCACGACGGGAACUCCCCCCCACUCUUGAUUUUUUUGGUCCCUACUCUGUCUACUUUUGGCCAAAGCUCGAAGGCUAAUUCACACUUCAAAGUAAAAUAAUAAAAUAGUCGUAACACAGUAUCUCCAAUGCCCACUGAAAUGGAGGCUCUAAAUAAUUUUUCAGAUAGUUUAGGCAAUUAAAAAUAUGUAUAGCAUAGGUGCAAAGACAGAGGUUACUUGUGUAAUAAAGUAAAUGGUAAAACAAAAAGUUUCUGGCCAAGUACUUUGGUUUAAAUAUGAACACUAAUCUGAGUUAUACCCUUGUGCUAAAACCCAGAGACAGGUCGCAAACAGCUUCUAAAGGGAUAUUUCAGUGCACUGGGUCAAAUUCACCCAAUAAAAUGGGGUUAUUUGCAGUAUUAGAAGACAAGGUGUGACUGGCUAGAUGUAGAUGAAGGCUCCAAGAUAGAAAAGAUCAAGAACAAAUUAUGUAGAAAUAAGAUAUUAUCUCAGUCCAUGGAACAGGUCAUCCAGGAAAGAACAAGAAAUAGAUUUAUUAUCAAAUAUAUGAAACCAGAGCCAGUAAUGAAUGGGUGGUAGAUGGUUAGAAUGGACAGGUUUCAAGAACCUUAGUCAGGAAGUAGUGUGAAUUGGAAAGACCUGACAAGAUUUCUGUAUCCUCAGACAAUCCUUCCCAAGUUGGCUAUUGUAAAGGUGAGCAUUUAGGAGAUCUCUGACCUAAACAGGGCAUGAGAUUAAUAAUUUAACCCAAAGUGCAUGAAUUAUUAUCUUCUGUGCGUUCAGAAGUCAGAUGGCAUACUAUAGCAAGGGUCUGCCAUUUUUUUGCAAAGGGUCAGACAGUGCUAUCUUGAGUUUUUUGCGGACCAUACAUCUCUGUUGCAACUAUUCAACUCUGCUGUCACCACACAGAAAUAGCCAUAUGCAAUACAUUAAUGAAUGGGUGUGGCUGUGUUCGAGUAAAACCUUAUUCAUAAAUCUAGAGUCAAGCAAGAUUUUAUCAGUGAGCCAUAGUUUGCUGACCCCAGUUCUGGGUCACUGUUCACAGGUGAAUGAGUCAUGAAACAUUAAUUUCUAGUUCUCAGUGUACUACUUUCUACCUGGGCGAACUCAGCUCCAUCCUUUUAUUUAUAUGGUCUACUACAUGGCUCAAGGUUCUCCAGAGAAAGAGAACCAACAGCAUGUGUACAUAAUAUGGCUCUCUCUCUCUCUCUCUUUCCCUCUCUAUAUAAUUUAUACAUAAAACAAUUUGUUCACACAAUUAUAAAGGCUUGGUAAAUUCAAAAUCUGCAAGUUAGGCAGACUGAAGACCCUGGGAAGAGUUGCAGUUAAAGUUCUGUCAGUUUUCUGGCCAAAUUCCUUCUGGCUAUAGGAAGGUCAGUCUUUGUUUUAUUAAGAGCUUCAACUUACUAGAUGAGGCCCUUGCAUAUGAUGGAGGGUAAUCUGCUUUACUCAAAGUUCACCAAUUUAAAUGUUAAUCUCAUCCCAAGACACCAUCACAGAAAUAUCCAAAAUAAUAUUUGAUCAAAUCACUGGGCAUAGCGGCCUAGACAUGUUGAUAUAUAAAGUGAACUAUCUCAGCCAUGGUUUUAUCAUCUUUUUGUGAGAAAUUCGGUUUGAACUAUUUUGAUGCCUUCUAGAGAGAACAUUCUACCCUUAAUUUUUCACCUGGUAGGCAUCAGGUGAAAAGAGCCCAUUUGCCUGGUCAAAUGACACCUAAAAUGAUAAAAUUCUGUCUUCUCUCUCUAAUCCACUAGGAAGAAUUUCAAAAGUACACCACUCAUAUCUGCUUUAGCUAACAUGUUAGAUCUGGAACUGACCUAUGUUACCAGUGAGUCCCAUGGAAUGCUCUUUCAUGAAAGGGAGAUUUUACUUGCUAAGUUUAGGAGAAAAAGAACGUGGUGGGUGAAGAACUUCCCACAGAUAUAAGUUCAUGAAGCUGGGAGUAGAAGAGAGCAUGGAUUUCUGAAGAUGCGUGCUUUGAGUCAACACUAAUUCCACAGCAUAAGUUCAUAAUUUAGGAAGCCAAACUGCUAUGUAUUUUUUUUCCUUUUGUUCCUCCAAAUAGAGACAAAUCAACUAUUCUGGCAAAGGAAGAGAAUUAGUCAUCACAGACAAAUUCCUUUUUUAGAGGUUAUCUCUCAAAUAAUUUGACUCAGUGUAGAUGAUGAUAUAGCUCCAAAAAGCAUAAACCAGAGCCUUUCAUUCCAGGUUCAUCCUCAAACAUCUAGGAUAGGUAGAAAUUUGGCAUCGGUAGUUUCUGAAAUUUCCCCAGGUAAUUAUAAUAGGUAACCAGAUUGAGAACUACCUAUGUAUCCAAUUCUACACACAUAAUGGAGACGUAGUGAGAAGUUAAAUCAAACUUCCAAAAGCAAAACAAGCUCUGACUCUACUGGCUGGAGACAUGGGCUCUGGAUUUAGUGAGGUGAGAAGAUAAAGAUCACCAGAGAGUAAAUCAAAUGUUUUACACCUGUGCUUAGCUAAUUGUUACUCAUAUGAUUCAGACAAUAUCAUGGCACCUGAACCCUGAAAUGCCUUAGUUCUGUUUUUAAAAAAAGUAACUGUUCAAGUAAAUGAACUCUAAGAAUUACAUAAAUUAUAAAGAAAAAUAAAUCUUAUUUUCUGUAUUGCUUUCAUAUAUAUUGUUUCACUUUCAUGAUAUAAACUAGUUACCUUUCUUUUUAUUUUACAUUUGAUGAAAAUAAGGCCUAAAAAAGUUCAGUAAUUUUAUUAAAGGCAGAAUAAUGGCUCCUAAAGACGCCCUCACCCUAAUCCCUAGAAGUUAUUAAUAAGUUACCUUAUGUGGCAAAAAAGGCUUUGUAGAUAUGACUAAAGUUAUAGACAAUGAGAUAGAAAAAUUAUCCUGCAUUAUCUCAUGGAACAAAUCUAAUUGCAUGAGUCCUUAGAAACAGAAAACCAUUCCCAACUGUAGAAAGAGACAGAUGUUCUAGUAGAAACAGGAUCAGAGAGAUGCAACUUUGCUGAUUUUGAAGGCAGAGUGAGGGAACUCUGAGUCAAAGACCACAAAGUGACCUCUGGAAGCUGAUACAGUCCAAGAAACAGAUUCAUCCCUAAGACCCUCCAGAAAAUAAUGUAGCCCUGUAGACAGCUUUACUUUAACCAAUUGAGACGGACAUCAGACUUGCAAGAUAAAAAAUUGAUGUUGUUUUGAGUCACUAAAUUUCUGGUGAUUUAUAUAAAAGCAAUAAAAACAAAUAUAUAGGUUUCCUACAAGAGCAAAUCUAUAUAUUUUUACUUAAGUAUUUCUAAAAUGAAUUUUAACCUCGUGAUUGACAGCAGUAGCCACUUUAAUGGGGUCCCACCACACAUUUGGGGCAAAAGAAGCCUAAUACAAAGCAGUGACAGCAGCAAAUCAGUGUCUAACACCUGGGGUAGAAGGCAAGUUGAUUUACUGUAGCAUCAGUGUAGCCUAAAUGGGAACCCAUUCUUCUGUCCCACACCCAUAAACACUAGUCUAAUCUGCAAGCAUCUGCUGUGCCAAUAAGCCCAACAUACACUAACCCUCCAAAUCAGUACAUUAAGUGAUCCAGGCUGGAUGUUUCACGAAACUUAAACCCAAUGGCACUGGUAAGUGCAGAUAGCACCUAUUCUUCUGCAACACUAAAAAUAAUAGUAACAGAAGAAUGGGAAAUUCAGAAAGAGGAAUAACUGAAUGGUGAAAAAAUGUGGAUAAAUAUAACAGACUAUCGUUCACCUCAUGAGUAUCAUAAAUUCUGUAUAAUGGUUAAAGCAAAAAUUAUGACACUAUCUGAUGUAGUUCUCAAUAAAUAUGAAGGAAAUACUAAAUAAAAUCAUACUUUGAGUGGGGAAAAUAGACCUAAAUGGAAAUAUAUUUUUGAAAACUUCACAUGAAAUAAUAAAACACUGAUUCUAGUUGACAAUGAUAUAAAUUAUAUAUGUAUAGUGUAAUACCAAAAGCAAUCAUAAAGAAAACUAUAAAAUCAAUAUUCUAUAGUUUUCUAAAUUAAAGUGGAAUUAUUAAAAUAUGUUUAAGUAACCCACAGGAAGGCAAAUAAGAGAAACAGGAUUGAGAAACAAUGGUAAAAAACAGAAAACAAAAAAUAAAGUGGCAGAUCUAAUCUUUAACACAGCAAUAAUUACAUUAAAUUUAAAUGAUGUAAAUAACCAAUUCAAAUACAGAGAUUGGAAGAGUAGACUGAAAAAACAGCAACCAUGAUCCAACUAUAUACUAUCUAUAAGAAACUUACUUUCAACAUUAUGCUAUAGGUAGUUCAAGGUAGAAGAAUGGAGAAGAUAUAUCACGUGAACAUUAAUCAGAAAAACCAAGAGUGGCUAUGUAAAUAUCAAGUAAAGUAGAAUUUAGAGCAAUGUAAAUUUCUGGGGCAGAGAGGGUCAUUAUAUAAAGAUAACAGGAAUAAUCCACUCAGAAUAUCUAGUGAUACUAAAUGUGUACGCACCAAAUAACAGAACUUCAAAAUACGUAAGACAAAUCCUGAAAAAGCUAAAAGGAGAAAAUUUAAAAUCCACAAUUAUUAUUUGAGACUUCAACACAGAAAUUUAUAGAACUACCAGAGAGAAAAUCAGCAAGGAUAUGGCAGAACUUAACAACACUAGAAAAGGAUAGAGAAGAAAUGAACAACAGCAUCAACCAAUAACUAACAUUUAAAGAACACAUUCAGUAAGAGCAGAAUACACAUUUAAAUGUCCAUGGAACAUUCACCGAUAGACCAUAUAUUGGGUGAUAAAAAUACAUUAUCAAGUUUAAAAGAAUUAAAUUUGCAUAGAAUAUAUUCUCUAGCCAAAAUGGAGUCAUACUAUGAGUCAAUAACAGAAAGACAACAGAAAAAUCUUCAAACACAUAAAAACUAAACAACAUAAUCCAAAAUAAUCCAUCAGUCAAAAAGGAAGUUCAGAGAAAAUAUUUUAAACGCAUAUAAUAAAACAAAAUUAAGAUAUCAAAGGAUCAAAAUUUGUGGAAUGAAGCUAAGGAAUUCUGACAGGAAGUUUAUAGCACAAAAUUGGGAAAAAGAAACUAUUUCAAAGUAACAAUCUAACUUUCUAUAUUAAAAUACUAAAACAGGAAGAGGAAAAGAACAUUAAACAAAUAGAAAGAAGGAAAUAAUAAAGAAAAGCAAAUCCAUGAAACUGAAAACAGAAAAAUAGGGAAAAAUCAAUAACGCAAAAGACUGGUACUUUGAAAUAAACAAUCUAAACAAUGAUGAUCUAACAAGAGUUAGAAAGAUAAAAAGAAAGAGAGCACAAAUCACAAAUAUCAUAAAUGCAACCAGGGAUAUCAUGACCUAUCCUGCAGGUUAAUAAGGGAAAUCUAUUUAUGAACAAAUCUACACUCUAUAUUCAAAAAUGUAGAUGAAAUGAACCAAUGCUUCUAAACCUAAAACUAGCAAAACUCAGCCAGGAUGAAAUAAGUAAUCUUACUUUUUCUAUAACAAUUAUAAACACUGAAUUUUUCAUUUAAAAAUUUCCAAAAGAAAUAUUCAGGCUUAGAUGUUAAAACUUUUAUCCAGAAGUAAAAGAAUGAACUUACACGAUUGUACAAGAACUAGAAGUUCUUGCAUGAACUUGUAUAAGGCCAGUACUACACUGACACCAAAGCCAGACAGAGAGAGUAUAGAAAGUAGAAAACUACAGACCAAUGUUUUUUAUGAAAUUAGCUAUAAAAAUCCUUCACCAAAUAUUAGCAAAUUAAAUCCAGAAAUACAUAAAAAGAAGCAUAUACCAUGACCAAGUGGGAUUUGUUCCAGUUAUGCAAAGUUGGUGAAAUACUUGAAAAUCAAACAAUGUAAUCCCCCAUAGCCAAUAGAUUAAGAGGGGAAAAUCAUGUGAUCAUAUCCAUCAAUGAAAAAAAAAUUUGAAAAAUCCAAUCUCAUUCAUGAU